CCUCAGGCCAAACAUGCCAGAAACAUGGCAGUAAAAUUCUGUUGGUCAAUAGUGGUGAAGGUCUGGUUAAGAUCACAGCCUGGGGACAUGAGAAGAUGGAUAGAGGGACCCUGCAGGAGCAAGACCGGCCACCUUAUCAGAGGACUUAGGGUCUGGGACAUGUGAUGAAGACUUUUCAGAUAUUAUUGGCACAGUACCAACUGCUGGAAGAUGAGAGAG